GGUCAGGCCACUGUGCACAGACCCAGAUAAACAAAGGGAGUGCAAGCCAGACAGCUAGCUUUCCAUCACCUACUGGGUAGGCAUUCUCUAACACCUUCCUGGCACAGUCUAGAAGGGAAGUGCCAAAUGGGGACACAGCCGACAUCCACCCCAACUCCACAGACACAGAUCAAUUGACCUGGCACCUGGUUCAUCUCUUAUUUGAAUUGCUUUUGAAAGCUCAGGGUAGGAAAAGCCAACAGACUCUGCAACGCAAUGUGCUAUUGGUCUUCGUCAAAUGUACUUCAGCUGUCUGCCUCUCCAUUAUGAUGGCAACUCUUCUGCCUGCUCCAGCUUUACAAGCAAAACACCUACUUUCAGUUCGGAAAGAAUCAAUGGACAGGCUUUUUGCAGCCUGCCACUUAAAGGGAGAGGUAGAGAACUUUGCACUUUGAGGCACAAAUCUUCACUAAGAUCAGGGGGGAAAAGAGGGGAGAGGCUCUCUGAAUGGUAGGCAUCCACCCUCAAACUCUUAAAGAACAGGAGCUGACUCAGAAGUUGGAGAAGAUGUGGCCAGAGAUGUGGUCACAUAAGCUCAUGAGACUUUCUAUCUAGAACAUUCUGAUUAGCAUGCCUUGGCUCCAGCAACAGACAACCUCUGAGCCUGUUUAUUCCACUUUUCCAAUGCACAGAAGGCAGAUGCUGUUUGGCAUAGCACAAGUCAAGGGACAUUUCCUGAGUGACCAGGGUCAUACAGGUGAGCUAAGACUUGGGCCUGACAGGAGAGAAGGUAGUGGUGAGUCAAGCCAUCACCCCCAGAGAUGUCCACUGCAGCGUGACGGUGGGCUUUAGAGGUGGUGACAAGACACUGCAGGCAGGGCCCCAGGAGAACCAAGAUGGUGGUGGGUAUGUGGGCAAAUUGAGAGCCGACCCGGGGACCCAGAGGAGUGAAGGACGGGAGAGCUAGUGUGGUGACAGCGAAGAACAACUGUUCUCAGUCACUCAGCGGCCUGUGUGGAGCCCCGCCCAAAGCUCUUACUCCGGCUGACUGGCCAGAUCCUCACCAGCAAGUCCUCCUCACCUUACUGCACCGUCCAGGUGGGUGACGAUACUCUGUCUGAAGGGCACGUUUCUCCUACCCUGUCUGAACAUCCAGGCUUAUGUCAGGCCU